AUGGAGCUUUUCUCAAGAUUUACUCCCACUAUUUUCCCUACUUGUUCACUGCUCAUAACCUCAUUUUUCCCACUUUUCAUUCUCUUCUCCAGAGAAGAGUGGACUCUCUGUCCUCAGAGGGAAACACAAUCUGAUGGGACACAGCUCUGGCACCACAUUUCCUCUUGUUCCUGCUGUCCUGGAAAGGCACAGGCUCUCUGCAUACUGCCAUAUCAGUGGAUACACCUCUGUGCUACAGCGGCUUUCCGUGAGGGCUUCAAGGCUUUCCUCCAAAUAAUGGCAGCCACCUGGAGCAGUGCACAGCUGGGCCCGGUUCUGACAACACUGACGGAAUGUUCCUUCCAAGUUCGCUUAACAUUACCUUUCAGAGCUUACUCCUGGCACCACAGGAGAAGAAGAAAAGCACCAAGAAAGUGCCACAUCCACUCCCAAACUCCUUUCAGCUCAGCAGUAGGGAAUGUGCUCAUAUCAGCAGGGAAAGGGACUGUAGCCUAG
rnacentral:lncRNA from 1 species